CCACCAUGUAAGAAGUGCCUUUCGCCUCCUGCCAUUAUUCUGAGGCCUCCCCAGCCAUGUAGAACUGUUGUCGCUGCCCUCAACCUCCAGAUGCAGCCCCCUGCCACCUUCAGGACCCCUGGCUGUCCCUUUGACUCAGUAGCAAAAGGGUUUAGGUGCUCGGAGGGAGUCCUUCAGGAAUCUGUGCAUAGAAUGCCAUGGUGCAGAGGAAAGUCUUCUUUCUGAAACCAGCCCAACUUUUCUCCCAGAGAGUAUCAUGGAACUGAACUUUCAAGAUCAUGGCAUCUGGACAUCGAGACAACAGAACCCUCAUCCGGCCACCUGCUGCUUGCUGGCCAAUUCCCAUAUAAACCGCUAACUUCAGUCAGUUGGAGAGAUGGAUUUAAGAUUUGCCUUCUGUCUCACAGCUGAUGUCACCAGCAAUAAAGCCUUCUUCCCUGGCAAUA